GUGGUGCUCGUAUUUUUGCUCCCAAGGUCCCGCCACUAGGUCGCAUAACACGCAUUGUCAACACCGUGUGAUGUGACGUAGUGGUAUGUCUAGGGGAGUUGCCUUUGCAUCCUAGUGC
rnacentral:precursor_RNA from 15 species